rnacentral:lncRNA from 1 species
CUGAAAUCCAGGGGCUAGCAAACCCAUGCUCCUUCUGAAGGUUCUGGGGAAAGGUGUGUGGGCCAGAUCUUUUACUUCUCCAUUGUAAUAGCCUCAGAUGUUCCUUGUCUCAUGGAAAGUCGCUAUCUCCCUGAGUCAUUUCCUGGCAUCUCUCCUCUAAACAAUCCAGGUCAAGCAACUGUGUACCAAAAUUGUGAGUCAAGAGAAAUCUUUCCUCCAUCGAAAUUGAUGAUCGCAGGCGUUUUGUCCCAGUGACUGAAAGCUUACUGCUGCAGCGCUUCCUGGUCCUUCCCUUGACUUCAGUCUCCAGCCUCACAUUCACGUGUGAGACCAGCAAAACCACUCAGCAUGCUGACUUGGGCAAUUUAGAUCCAGCAAAAAGAAAAAAUUAAAGGCCCCUCUCUGGUGUGUUCUCACCUGUAUGCCCAUGAAAUCUCGGGUUUGUGUUUU